rnacentral:rRNA from 1 species
AUUGAACGCUGGCGGCAGGCUUAACACAUGCAAGUCGAGCGAGCGGCGGACGGGUGAGUAAUGUCUUGGAACCUGCCUGAUGGCGGGGGCUAACUACUUUAAACGGUAGCUAAUACCGCAUCCCAUCAGAUGUGCCCAGAUGGGAUUAGCUAGUCGGUGGGGUAAUGGCUCACCUAGGCGACGAGCCCUAGCUGGUCUGAGAGGAUGACCGGCCACACUGGAACUGAGAGACGGUACAGACUCCUACGGGAGGCAGCAGUGGGGAAUAUUGCACAAUGGGCGAAAGCCUGAUGGAGCAAGGCCGCGUGAGUGAAGAAGGCCUUCGGGUUGUAAAGCACUGUCAGCGAGGAGGCGUUACUCGCAGAAGAAGCAACGGCUAACUACGUGCCAGCAGCCGCGGUAAUAC